rnacentral:ncRNA from 1 species
GAUCAGCAUUAGGUUGGGGUAUACAAGACGGGUAUGCAUCGGAACUCCCACCAGGUAAGCUUGUAAAGGUGAUUCCCUUUUC